rnacentral:rRNA from 1 species
AUUGAACGCUGGCGGCAAGCCUAACACAUGCAAGUCGAACGAGUGGCGGACGGGUGAGUAAUGUCUGGGAAACUGCCUGAUGGAGGGGGAUAACUAAUGGAAACGGUAGCUAAUACCGCAUACCAUCGGAUGUGCCCAGAUGGGAUUAGCGAGUAGGUGGGGUAAAGGCUCACCUAGGCGACGAUCCCUAGCUGGUCUGAGAGGAUGACCAGCGACACAGGAACGGAGACACGGUCCCGACUCCUAGCGGAGGCAGCAGUGGGGAAUAUUGCACAAUGGGCGCCAGUCUGAUGCAGCUAUGCCUCAGGUAUGAAGCAGGCCUUCGGGUUGUAAAGUACUUUCCGCGGGGAAGCGUUACCCGCAGAAGAAGCACCGGCUAACUCCGUGCCAGCAGCCGCGGUAAUAC